GCCGUUACCGAGAUUGUAUCAGUGAUAACUUCCAUUUUCUUUACAAUAAGACAGAAUAUGGUGCUUACAGCUCUUAAUCACCUAAGUCGAUUUGUAACUUUAUCAAGAAAAAGAAAGAAAAAGUGAACGAUAUGAGAAUGUUUGAAGCUCAACUUGAAUCGUUUUGUCGUCGUAUUGCUCGCGUCCUUCUUUACUUCGCGAAGGUAAAAGAACUUUAAGACAAGUCUUUCGAAUGCGCACGUACUAAAACGACUCGUAACGGUCAGCCACGUGCUUUAAGUCGCGGGGCACAGCAGGAAAAUCAUUGUGAUUCAAAUAUUCUCGGUAACAGUCUCGAGUGUUUCGGCAUGGUAGCAUAAUAAUGGUAUCAAGGACAAAGACUUUUUGUACUGAACUACCAAUUGCGUUAUGUUUAUCACGAUAAAACAUGAAAUACACACUAUAGUAAAAGAUAAGCUACGUCAAAUAGUUAAUGAUAAAAACUUUUUCACCACGAUAGCUUAGUCAACUUGUUUAUUUUGAAUAUUUGAAACAGCUCCGUUUAAAGGACAAUUGAUGCAAAUCAAACUCGACCAAUUUAUGUAAUUUAGUUUCUUUCCGUGCAACGACAUUUUGCCAGACGUCUGAAAAUUUUCAAUAGAAUUUCCUUCAAUUAAAUGGAAGCAAUAUCCGAUUAUGAAAAUUGCUUUCACCUAAGCACAUUACGGGUAAAGGAAGGAAAGCUAAAGAGGUGCAAUAACGCUUAAUUAUUUAGGCAAUCUAAAGACAUCUGUUUUUGUUUCACCAUGGAAACAAAGUUUUUUAAAUGCAUGAAACACUCCUUUGAAACCAAACAAAUGCUAUUAUGUUUACUAAAAUUCAUAUAUUGUACCGACAAGGUAUUAAAUUGAGUGGAUAAUACAAUUACAUCUGUUAUAAAAUCAA